CAUGGAGAAAAUUUAAAAUCCCCUGUAUCAUGGACCCUAAAAGGCUAGUUUGAUUGACGAAAAAUUAUUUUACAAUUCUGCUAAAUUGCAGUAUCACUUUCAUUUCCAGUUUCAGACGUUCUAGUCUGAUCUUCAGCAUACCCUGUCAUUAAAGCUGGUUGUGUUGGAUGGUCAAACUUACAAGCAGGUCCAAACUUGCAAAUACCAUACCGGCUAUAGUAUGAACAUACAUGCUGACCAGGUCUCAACGGCAGGCCCUUGUCACUAAGAGCACAUGGAGAUGACUUUGGGAUCUGAUUCUUUGGAUGAUGAUAUUUGCAGUUAGACUUGAAUUUACAGUCCCCGGUUUUCAUAUAAUAAUUGCACUCUGGUUGACCUGGUCGUUCUGGAAAUUCAUCCACUAGUGUAUGCUGCUGAUGUGCAUAGACAUUGUUAUCUGUAGCCGGAUUGCUUAUGACAUAAGCUGGAGCCAGAUGUAUACUCCUUUCUGGUGAAUAUAUAGGAGCCUGAUAACCAUUCCAUUCUGGAUUUUGUGAAGUAACCCCUUGAGUUGCUGAAAACAUAAUUGGCACAAAGGGGGCAUUCUCAUUUAGUCCUCUUGGCGACGACCAAGUUGCUACACUUGAUUGUGAAGAACUCUGUAAAGCAGCAGAC
rnacentral:misc_RNA from 1 species